UUGUUUCUGCGUUUUGAUGCCCAAACGUGCGUUUUUUUUCUCCAAACGCAACUUUUCAAUUUCCAGUGAUGUUUGGGUGAUACCAUAAAGCGAUUAUGAAAAGGAGAAAACGCGAGUUUGGGCGAAGCUACAAAUCGGAGCUUCUGCGUCAAAAGCAAACGUAAUUCAAACUUUAAAUUUUCUAUGAUAUGUAUACUUACCAAAUUACCCCUAUCUUCUUCCCAAAUUUCCAACCCAUAAGCAUCUUUCGCCUGUCUAAUUUCUCAGAUUUGCAGUUGAAACAGAGAGAAUAGGGCAAAAAACAUAAUAAAUUAAGCUUAAUAGAGAUGAGUGCAGCAUCAGCACUUUGCAAAUCAACCUUUCAUAUUUGCUGUGAAUCCAGAAGCGGCUUGUUUGCAGUGAGUGCAGCAACGUUUCUGAGUUGUUGAAAAAUAAAUAUAAUGGGCUAAAGUAUAAAAGGCUAAUUUCAACAACAACAAAAAAAAAACAAAGGCUUGAUUUUUUUUUGUCAAAGGCCUGAUAUAUUUUUUAUUUAUGGAAGGCCUGAUAUAUAUUUAUUAAUUACUUUUUUUUGGGAAUGACGGUAUAAGCUGUUUACUGUACCAUUUUACAUAUAUGCCUUUUAUUUU
rnacentral:lncRNA from 1 species